rnacentral:rRNA from 1 species
UACGGAGGGUGCGAGCGUUGUUCGGAAUUACUGGGCGUAAAGCGCGUGUAGGCGGUUUUUUAAGUCUGAUGUGAAAGCCCUGGGCUCAACCUGGGAAGUGCAUUGGAAACUGGGAGACUAGAAUACGGGAGAGGGGGGUGGAAUUCCUGGUGUAGGGGUGAAAUGCGUAGAUAUCAGGAGGAACACCGGUGGCGAAGGCGGCUGCCUGGACCGAUAUUGACGCUCAGACGCGAAAGCGUGGGGAGCAAACAGG